rnacentral:rRNA from 1 species
CACGCAGGUGGCGAGAUAAGUUGGAUGUGAAAUUCCCGUGCUUAACAUGGGGACUGCAUCCAAAACUGUUGAACUGGAGUACUGUAGAGGGAGGUAGAAUUCCACGUGUAGCGGUGAAAUGCGUAGAUAUCGGGAGGAACAUCGGUGGCGAAGGCGGGUAACUGGACUGCAACUGACGCUGAGGCGCGAAAGUGUGGGAGCAAACA